GACGAACGCUGGUGGCGUGCUUAACACAUGCAAGUCGAACGGUGAAGCGCCUUCCUUUUUGGUGGGUGUGGAUGAGUGGCGAACGGGUGAGUAACACGUGAGUAACCUGCCCCCUUCUUCUGGAUAACCGCAUGAAAGUGUGGCUAAUACGGGAUAUUCUGGGUCUGUCGCAUGAUGGGUCUGGGAAAGAUAUUGUUUCGGUGGGGGAUGGGCUCGCGGCCUAUCAGCUUGUUGGUGGGGUGAUGGCCUACCAAGGCGGUGACGGGUAGCCGGCCUGAGAGGGUGGACGGUCACACUGGGACUGAGACACGGCCCAGACUCCUACGGGAGGCAGCAGUGGGGAAUAUUGCACAAUGGGCGCAAGCCUGAUGCAGCGACGCCGCGUGAGGGAUGGAGGCCUUCGGGUUGUGAACCUCUUUCGCCAGUGAAGCAGGCCUGCCUCGUUUGUGGGUGGGUUGACGGUAGCUGGAUAAGAAGCGCCGGCUAACUACGUG
rnacentral:rRNA from 1 species